rnacentral:rRNA from 1 species
GACGAACGCUGGCGGCGUGCCUAAUACAUGCAAGUAGAACGCUGAAGGAGGGGCUUGCUUCUCUGGAUGAGUUGCGAACGGGUGAGUAACGCGUAGGUAACCUGCCCGGUAGCGGGGGAUAACUUUUGGAAACGAUAGCUAAUACCGCAUAAGAGUAGAUGUUGCAUGACAUUUGCUUAAAAGGUUCAAUUGUAGCAAUACCAGAAGGACCUUCGUUGUAUUAGCUAGUUGGUGAGGUAACGGCUCACCUAGGCAACGAUACAUAGCCGACCUGAGAGGGGGAUCGGCCACACUGGGACUGAGACACGGCCCAGACUCCUACGGGAGGCAGCAGUAGGGAAUCUUCGGCAAUGGACGGAAGUCUGACCGAGCAACGCCGCGUGAGUGGAGAAGGUUUUCGGAUCGUAAAGCUCUGUUGUAAGAGAAGAACGAGUGUGAGAGUGGAAAGUUCACACUGUGACGGUAUCUGACCAGAAAGGGACGGCUAACUACGUG